rnacentral:siRNA from 1 species
UGCUUCCAUGGUGGUUUUUGUGCC